rnacentral:tRNA from 1 species
AGCACAGUGCCAGAGGACUAUGGGUCACCUUGAUGUGGUGUACUACGGUGUGCUAAAGCCACCCUGUGCUU